UUCAAUACCCUACAUAAUUGAAAUGUUUCUCAUGUAAGAAGAUUUUCUCAAUAAUUCUAUCUAUUGGAAUGGGAAAUAUGUUUUAGGUUGUCAAACUUAAUGAAGCAUCAUAAUCGUCAUUGCAGCAAUCUGAUUGGUUUACUCAAGAUACGAACACGUAAUAUAAAAUUUUCAUAAGACAAUUAAUAUGCCCAUUUAUGGUAAGCUAUAAUGGCCGGCGACGGAAGUACAACGAAUACUGAAAUUUUAAAAGCCAAUUUUACAAGCAAAAUUCAUCAUGUAAUUUUCCAAAUAUCUACCAACUAAUUUGACAAAAUAUCUGAAACAAACAAGAGAUUGUUAAAUAGAUUUAACCUCAAUAAAGUCACGAUAUUCAACUUAAAA